CCUGCCCUCGAGAAAAGGAAUAACAGUUGGAACGACUGCUAAUGCCCUAUAUGCCUUUAAGACAUAAGUCUGCAAGGGAAAAUGCUUUUGUGCUCGAGGAUGGGACUGUACGGUAUCAGUUAGUUGGUGAGGUAAUGGCUCACCAAGACAAUGACGCCUAACUGGUUUGAGAGGAUGAUCAGUCACACUGGAACUGAGACACGGUCCAGACUCCUACGGGAGGCAGCAGUGGGGAAUAUUGCACAAUGGAGGAAACUCUGAUGCAGCAACGCCGCGUGGAGGAUGACACAUUUCGGUGCGUAAACUCCUUUUAUAUAGGAAGAUAAUGACGGUACUAUAUGAAUAAGCGCCGGCUAACUCCGUGCCAGCAGCCGCGGUAAUACGGAGGGCGCAAGCGUUACUCGGAAUCACUGGGCGUAAAGAGCGUGUAGGCGGAUAGAUAAGUCAGGAGUGAAAUCCUAUGGCUCAACCAUAGAACUGCUCUUGAAACUGUCUAUCUAGAAUAUGGGAGAGGUAGAUGGAAUUUCUGGUGUAGGGGUAAAAUCCGUAGAGAUCAGAAGGAAUACCGAUUGCGAAGGCGAUCUACUGGAACAUUAUUGACGCUGAGACGCGAAAGCGUGGGGAGCAAACAGGAUUAGAUACCCUGGUAGUCCACGCCCUAAACGAUGUUCACUAGUUGUUGUGAGGCUUGACCUUGCAGUAAUGCAGUUAACACAUUAAGUG
rnacentral:rRNA from 1 species